rnacentral:rRNA from 1 species
GAUGAACGCUGGCGGCGUGCCUAAUACAUGCAAGUCGAGCGAACAGACGAGGAGCUUGCUCCUCUGACGUUAGCGGCGGACGGGUGAGUAACACGUGGAUAACCUACCUAUAAGACUGGGAUAACUUCGGGAAACCGGAGCUAAUACCGGAUAAUAUAUUGAACCACAUGGUUCAAUAGUGAAAGACGGUUUUGCUGUCACUUAUAGAUGGAUCCGCGCCGCAUUAGCUAGUUGGUAAGGUAACGGCUUACCAAGGCAACGAUGCGUAGCCGACCUGAGAGGGUGAUCGGCCACACUGGAACUGAGACACGGUCCAGACUCCUACGGGAGGCAGCAGUAGGGAAUCUUCCGCAAUGGGCGAAAGCCUGACGGAGCAACGCCACGUGAGUGAUGAAGGUCUUCGGAUCGUAAAACUCUGUUAUUAGGGAAGAACAAAUGUGUAAGUAACUAUGCACGUCUUGACGGUACCUAAUCAGAAAGCCACGGCUAACUACGUG